UUAAUUUAAAAAAAAUUAAAGAAUUAAUUUAAAAAAGGAUUAAGAAAUUAAUUGAAGAAUCAAUUUAAAAAAUUGAUCUUUAAUUUGUUGAAUUAAUUAAUAAAAUUUUAACAUCAUCAUGACAGUUGUCAUCGAAUAUUUCGGAGGGGAGCAUUGUCUGAGAAUGGCCUUGAUAUAAGAAAAUAAAGAAAAAAAAUGAUUAAAAAUAUAUAAAAAUGAUAACCUAACAUAUGAUAACUGAUUUAUUUCUAUAUUUCUCUUGGAGGCAAAAUGACCUUGGAACUGUUGGAGGGGAUACAGGAAUUUUAUGUUAAAUCAGGAAAUGGAAAUGUCAUAUAUUCUCAGGGACACCUUUAGAUGCAUAUAUAUAAAUAUUUCGUAACCAAUAACAAUAACUAAAUUGAUGAUCUUUGGAUGAGCUCCGGUUCCAGACACCAACUUAUACCAUUCGUUGACAUUUAAUUGUAUGAACAAUACAUUGAAUAUUAUUACGAAGUGUAAUUUAAAUUUAUUCAAAUCAGAUUAUAAACAUCUGUCAUAUCUUUGUGUAAUUUAUAAAUUAUAUGUAUAAGUGUCCAAAGCAGGCAAGAAUUUUACAUAAGAAAGUGAAUCAUUAAAAUAUUAAUUGCAACAGAAGUAAUAAAUCAUAAAGAUGGGAGGAGAAAUGCUUUUUUUUCAUCACGACAAACCCAUCAAAAACAUUGCAAACUAUGAAGAACUGGUUAAAAAUAUCGUAAAUGAUUGUCAGCACCAAGUAGUUCCUGUUGAGUUCAACUCUGACAGACCUACGGAAAUAUUAAGUGAAAAUGAGAAGCAAAGACUGAUUACGGACAGAGAAAAUCUGGGUACGGAUGACGAUUACAUAAUUGGCGUUAGUUUGCAGAUACCAGAAAAUAGUGAGAAUGAAUUCAGUGUCAGACGUGGUCACUACCAUAUUUUGUUCCCGAAGGAUCCGAAUGCUUAUAAAAUUAUUUCAAACAUGCAUGCCAGAGGAUUUUCUGGCACUUCUGAAAUAAAACGUUGGAUUCAUGACGUGUUACUUAAAUUCGUUACAACUUUCCCUGGAGUCUUUGAACUGUAUUAUGGAGACAAUUAUUCGGGAUUUGAUGACAGGUCUAUUGAUGUCACUUAUUCCAAUGGCAGAGACUAUCCUGUGGAAAAAAGAUGGAGCUAAUUGUUAUAUUAGUGAAUAACAUUCAUGUUAAUUGUUGUCUUACCUUGAGUUCUUGUUGUAAAUUUUUUGUUAAACAGAACAGUAGAAAUUAAAAGACAAUUUUAUUGUAAUUAAAAAUAAGUUUUGAAAAUCCAAAGUGCACAUACAUAAUUUUAAUAAAAUA